rnacentral:rRNA from 1 species
AGCUUAGAUGAUUUCUUCGGAAUGAACUUAAGUGGAUUAGUGGCGAACGGGUGAGUAACACGUGAGUAACCUGCCUUACACAAGGGGAUAGCCUCUGGAAACGGAGAAUAAUACCCUAUAAAGUCUAAUCAGCCCAUGCUGGAAAGACCAAAGAUUUAUCGGUGUAAGAUGGACUUGCGUCUGAUUAGCUAGUUGGUGAGAUAAAAGCUCACCAAGGCGACGAUCAGUAGCCGGCUUGAGAGAGUGUACGGCCACAUUGGGACUGAGACACGGCCCAAACUCCUACGGGAGGCAGCAGUGGGGAAUUUUGCACAAUGGGGGAAACCCUGAUGCAGCGACGCCGCGUGAUUUAGAAGGCCUUCGGGUUGUAAAAAUCUUUUUUACGGGAUGAAAAUGACAGUACCGUAAGAAUAAGGUCCGGCUAAAUACGUGCCAGCAGCCGCGGUAAUACGUAUGGACCGAGCGUUGUCCGGAAUCAUUGGGCGUAAAGGGUACGUAGGCGGCCUAGUAAGUUAGAAGUUAAAGAAUAUAGCUCAACUAUAUAAAGCUUUUAAAACUGCUAGGCUUGAGAGAUGGAAGGGAAAGUGGAAUUCCUAGUGUAGCGGUGAAAUGCGCAGAUAUUAGGAAGAAUACCGGUGGCGAAGGCGACUUUCUGGUCAUCAUCUGACGCUGAGGUACGAAAGCGUGGGUAGCAAACAGGAUUAGAUACCCUGGUAGUCCACGCUGUAAACGAUGAGUGUUAGGUUCUUGGAAUAAUCUGGGAGCCGCAGCUAACGCAUUAAACACUCCGCCUGGGGAUACCACGCAAUGUGACU